rnacentral:lncRNA from 1 species
AUCUACUUGCUCUUUCGAAGCCCCUGAAAUUACCCGAGUGUUUCGUUUGGCUCAGUUUUUUUUUUAAAUUUUCUAUGCAGUGAUUUAUAUUUGUAGACUGUAGACUGUUGUUUGUUUUUUGCUCUUGUAUUCGUGUUUGCUAUAUGCUUUGCAUGUAUGUCACAAUGUCGAACUGAAAUUUCGUUAAUGAACUUACUUUCAGGCUUAAGGGGGCUCCUGGGUAUAAAUCAAAUUUUUUUUCUAAUAUAGGAUUUCGCUAUAUUUUUUUAUAAAUGAACUUUAUCAUAUACUUAAAAGAAAAAUGAAAUAAAAAAAUAGGGUCACCGUUCAUUUAAGCUCGAAAUCUGCCUCCGGAAGAAGCAUACAUUUUUGUUAAUGUCCUUUUUUUUCUGUUGAACUAAUAGGAGAAAUAGAGGUAAUAUCGAAAUAAAAAAAUAACCUAGUUACAGAAAUCGCUUAAAUUUUACAAUUAUUUAGUUUAUGUACAGCUUAUAUGAAAACAAUAAUAAAAAAUAUAGGUCACCGAUUAGUUAAAAAAGAUAUUUCAAAUUUUAAUGCCAAAAAUGGCAUUUUUGCACCAAAGGGAGAUAAUUUGGAGCUUUUUCAAUGAUAUAAACAUUUUUAAAGUCAUCUGGAGCCAAACCGAAUCGAUUUUU